CGCACCUUGCGCUCCUUGGUAUUCCGAGGAGCAUGCCUGUUUGAGUGUCAUGAAAUCUUCAAUCUACAAGCUUCUUAUGGGAGUUUGUAGGCUUGGACUUGGAGGCUUGUCGGUCCUUUACAGGUCGGCUCCUCUCAAAUGCAUUAGCUUGGUUCCUUGCGGAUCGGCUUGUCGGUGUGAUAAUGUCUACGCCGCGACCGUGAAGCGUGUUUGGGCGAGCUUCUAACCGUCUCGUUUACGGAGACAACUUUAUGACCUCUGACCUCAAAUCAGGUAGGACUACCCGCUGAACUUAA
rnacentral:misc_RNA from 1 species